GAUGAAGAAACGCAGCGAAAUGCGAUACGUAGUGUGAAUUGCAGAAUUCAGUGAAUCAUCGAAUCUUUGAACGCACAUUGCACCUCUCGGUAUUCCGGGAGGUAUGCCUGUUCGAGCGUCAUUUGUACCCUCAAGCUCUGCUUGGUGUUGGGUGUUUGUUCCGCCUCUGUGUGUGAACUCGCCUCAAAACAAUUGGCAGCCGGCGUACUUGUUUCGGAGCGCAGCACAUUUUGCGAUCCAGAUCAACGUACAGCGGCAUCCAAGAAGCCUUAUUUAACGCUCUUGACCUCGGAUCAGGUAGGGAUACCCGCUGAACUUAAGCAUAUCAAUAAGCGGAGGA
rnacentral:misc_RNA from 1 species